rnacentral:rRNA from 1 species
GUUUGAUCCUGGCUCAGAAUGAACGUUGGCGGCAUGGAUUAGGCAUGCAAGUCGCACGAGAAGCUGAGUAGCUUGCUACAAAGCGGACAGUGGCGAAAGGGAGAGUAACGUGUGGUUACGUGCCCUCGAGACCGGGAUAGCGUCGGGAAACUGGCAGUAAUACCGGAUAACAUCUACGGAUCAAAUGGUGAGAUUCCGCUCGAGGAUUGGACCGCAUACUAUUAGCUUGUUGGUGAGGUAAUGG